GGUGCUGUGGCAGAGCAGGUUAAAGCCCCAGCCUGCAGUGCUGGCAUCCAACAUGGGUGCCAGUUCAAGCCCUGGCUGCACCU
rnacentral:tRNA from 1 species